rnacentral:rRNA from 1 species
UACGUAGGGUGCGAGCGUUGUCCGGAUUUAUUGGGCGUAAAGAGCUCGUAGGCGGUUUGUCGCGUCGGCCGUGAAAUCUCCACGCUUAACGUGGAGCGUGCGGUCGAUACGGGCAGACUUGAGUUCGGUAGGGGAGACUGGAAUUCCUGGAUGUAGCGGUGAAAUGCGCAGAUAUCAGGAGGAACACCGGUGGCGAAGGCGGGUCUCUGGGGCCGAUACUGACGCUGGAGGAAGCGAAAGCGUGGGGAGCGAACAGG